UCGGACAUGGUGUACGGUACACACCCUUGUCUCUUGUGGGAACCACACAGAUCAGGAGCGAAUCCGGGGUUCGACUCCCUGUGUCCGAA